rnacentral:rRNA from 1 species
UCAGCGGUGAAAGUUUGCAGCUUAACUGUAAAAAUGCCGUUGAAACUGUUAGACUUGAGUGUAAAUGAGGUAGGCGGAAUGCGUGGUGUAGCGGUGAAAUGCUUAGAUAUCACGCAGAACUCCGAUUGCGAAGGCAGCUUACCAAGCUACAACUGACACUGAAGCACGAAAGCGUGGGGAUCAAACAGGAUUAGAUACCCUGGUAGUCCACGCAGUAAACGAUGAUUACUAGCUGUUUGCGAUAUACAGUAAGCGGCUAAGCGAAAGCGUUAAGUAUUCCACCUGGGGAGUACGCCGGCAACGGUGAAACUCAAAGGAAUUGACGGGGGCCCGCACAAGCGGAGGAACAUGUGGUUUAAUUCGAUGAUACGCGAGGAACCUUACCCGGGCUUGAAUUGCAGUGGAAUAUAUUAGAAAUAGUAUAGCCGUAAGGCCGCUGUGAAGGAGCUGCAUGGUUGUCGUCAGCUCGUGCCGUGAGGUGUCGGCUUAAGUGCCAUAACGAGCGCAACCCUUAU